rnacentral:rRNA from 1 species
AUGCGCGGCCAUGUGCUUAGAAUAAUUUCGUGGAGCGCGUGGGUCUUAGACAUCGUUCUGAUGCUAUCGGGCAAGCAAAUUUACUUCAUCGCACGGAAAUUUGGUUUGGAUUAUCAGAUACAAUCACUUGAAGAAAGUGCUGAAGUACUAAGAGAGAGGUGCUUGAAGUUUCAUAAAGGUUGCCGCAAGUAUACUGAAGGGCUAGGUGAAGCCUAUGAUGGAGAUAUUGCAUUUGCAAGUGCACUUGAGACAUUUGGAGGAGGCCACAAUGAUCCAAUCAGUGUUGCUUUCGGCGGACCUGUCAUGAACAAAUUUACAAUUGCCCUGAGAGAAAUAGGAACGUAUAAGGAAGUCCUGCGCUCCCAGGUUGAGCAUAUGCUAAAUGACAGAUUGCUAAACUUUGUAGAUGUUGAUUUGCAUGACGUUAAGGAUGCCAGGAAGCGUUUUGACAAGGCUAGCCUCGUGUAUGACCAGAUUCGCGAGAAAUACUUAUCAUUGAAGAAAGGCACAAGAGCAGACAUAACAACUGCCAUUGAAGAAGAGCUCCAUAGUGCUAGGUCUUCAUUUGAGCAAGCUCGUUUUAACCUGGUAACUGCAAUUUCGCAUAUCGAGGCAAAGAAGAGAUUUGAAUUUUUGGAGGCUGUUAGUGCGACAAUGGAUUCACACCUCCGAUAUUUUAAACAAGGGUAUGAACUAUUGCAUCAGAUGGAACCCUAUAUUAAUCAGGUUCUGGCCUAUUCGCAGCAAUCAAGAGAGAGGGCAAACAAGGAACAAGCUUCUCUUUUAGAGAGGAUGCAUGAGUACAAAAAGCAGAUAGAGCGUGAUAGUCGGUCAUCUGGGAAUGGUUUAAAUGAUUCCCCUAAUGUAGAUGGCAUACAAACAAUCGGUAGAAGUUCACAUAAAAUGAUUGAAGCAGUGAUGCAGUCAUCCACAAAAGGCAAGGUUCAGACCAUUCGUCAAGGUUACCUCUCAAAGAGAUCAUCAAACUUGAGAGGUGACUGGAAAAGAAGGUUUUUUGUUCUGGAUAGUCGAGGGAUGUUGUACUACUAUCGCAAGCAAAUUAAUAGGCCAGCUGGUGUUUCUCAAGUUCAAAGAACCAACAAUACCCCUGAACAUGGUUCAGGGUUGCUGAGCAGAUUGUUCUCUUCUCAUUACCAUGGUAUACAUGAUGAAAAAUCUGUUGCACGGCAUACAGUAAAUUUGCUGACAUCAACCAUUAAAGUCGAUGCAGAACAAUCAGAUCUGAGGUUCUGCUUCAGAAUUAUUUCACCCAUGAAGAUCUACACAUUGCAGGCAGAGAGUGCUCUAGAUCAGAUGGAUUGGAUCGAAAAAAUUACUGGUGUCAUUGCAUCUUUGCUGAACGCACAAUCCCCAGAACAGUGUCUGCACAGCCCUAGGAGCUGCGGUCAUGAUCGGAGCGCUAGUGAGAGUAGCUCCUAUACUAGUUCAGUGGAACUGGAAACUUCCACAAGUGAAGAUUUAACACUGGAAAAGAAUGCUGGAAAUGGACAACAUCAUCACAGGACCCAUAUCAAACCCGAAAAACCAAUUGACUUGCUUAGGAGGGUUGAUGGUAAUACUAUUUGUGCCGAUUGUGGUGCUGCGGAACCUGAUUGGGCGUCGUUAAACCUCGGUGCUCUUCUGUGCAUAGAGUGUUCUGGAGUACACAGAAAUCUAGGAGUGCAUAUAUCGAAGGUAAGGUCUCUGACUCUCGAUGUCAGAGUCUGGGAGCCAUCUGUAAUCAAUCUCUUUCAAUCAUUAGGCAACAUGUUUGUGAACAGAGUUUGGGAAGAAACAUUACCUUCAUCAAACAAUGGCUCUUCUGUUGAUAAUACAAGUACUAAUGGAUCACAGGCAGCACAAUACUUAACCACCAGCAAGCCUAAACACUCAGAUCCUUUCUCUGCCAAAGAGAAGUUUAUUCAUGCCAAGUAUGCUGACAAGGAAUUUGUACGGAGGCAUAGUAUCGAUGAGAUUCACAUAGCUCAGCAGAUGUGGGACAGUGUAACUGCAAAUGACAAGAAAGGAGUAUACAGUCUCAUUGUGGCAUCACAUGCCAAUGUAAAUUUGGUUUAUGGGCAGAUGGCUUCUGGUUUGUUACUGAAUCUUGGAAAAGCACUUAUACAAGAGCAGCCAACUUCACCAGCUGAUGGAAGCCCUAGAUUUUUCGACUGCAAUUCACAUGAGAAGGUUUCUCCUAGAGAGUCGCUUUCUCCUCCCAGCACAAGUUCACAUGUAGAUGAGUUGGAUGAUAGAUAUGAGGGUUUCUCCUUGCUUCAUCUUGCAUGCCGUGUUGCAGAUGUGGGGAUGGUUGAAUUACUUUUGCAGUAUGGUGCUAGUGUAAAUGUGUCUGAUUCAAGAGGUCGGAUGCCCCUUCAUCACUGUAUUUUGAAAGGAAGACAUCUGCAUGCAAAGCUUCUGCUCUCCAGGGGAGCUGACACACAUGCCAUAGACCGAGAUGGCAGAUCAGCAUUGCAGUAUGCAAUGGACCGUUCCACAAGUGACGAAGGCAUGCUUGCGUUGUUAGAGGAGCACUUCAGAUAA